CAACGACACCGCUGCACUGCUAUCUCCAACAGCUGCAACAACAACGCCUUCACUGGCAACUCCACCAGAACCGGCGGCCUCGCCAACGACAUUGGUGAAUGAGGAUCAGCUGCCCCGGCUGGCGACUGAAGUAGCGGUGGUAGCCUUGCCACCAGCAUUGGUGAGUGAGGAUCAGCUGCCCCGGCUGGCGACUGAAGCAGUAGUGGCGCCAUCGACAGGAUCAUUCAUCGACAGCAUCACCC
rnacentral:lncRNA from 1 species